rnacentral:rRNA from 1 species
UACGUAGGGUGCAAGCGUUGUCCGGAAUUAUUGGGCGUAAAGAGCUCGUAGGCGGUUUGUCGCGUCGAAUGUGAAAACCCGGGGCUCAACCCCGGGCCUGCAUUCGAUACGGGCAGACUAGAGUUCGGUAGGGGAGUCUGGAAUUCCUGGUGUAGCGGUGAAAUGCGCAGAUAUCAGGAGGAACACCGGUGGCGAAGGCGGCAUCCUGGACCAACACUGACGCUGAGUGAGCGAAAGCCAGGGGAGCAAACGGG